AGCGGACGCAGCCGCUAGGUCAGCCCAGUUCUUCUCCUGCUUCGUUAUUAUUCAACGUGUUACAAACAAACAUAUUCCACCUGUUACAACAAUCUGGCAUAUUACUUUCUUGAUACGUGAUGAUACAAUACCUCUCAGGUUUGCCGAGUAGCAAAGAGAAAUGUAAGCAAAUGAAAAGGUUUUCCACUUUCACAGUUUUUUUUCUGCUUAGGGUUCUGUUUGUCUGAGAACUGUAUGAAUAGAAGCCAUAUUUUAUAGUAUUUCUUUAACCUCUGCCAUCUGGUGUAGGUUAGUUUUUCCACUGCCAACUUAUCCUUAGAGGC
ensembl:lncRNA